AUUCAUUACUGGCUUUAUCAUAUUCAUUACCCUCUUUUUCUUAAAAGGGUUUUGGCUUUGGAAGGAGAUGGAGAUCGGUGACAAUGAUCGGAGUUCGUCGCUGUGUGGAUGAUCCCAGUGUAGCGCUGGUUUUCAACUCUAGUGUUUUGUAGGGUUUUGGGGGCGUGAAUUUUGGGGGAUUUCGUUUGGAUUUCUAGCCCUGAAUUUUGCAAGGACUGUCUACCCUGUAUGUACACCAAAUGCUCCUGACAUUUCAAAUAAGUUAGGUGUCACUAGAUGGUCCACUAAAGCAGCUAAGGGUAUUGAAAUCAGUUAUGGUUGAUUGGUGGUGUGGAAUUGUAGAGGGAUAUGGUAGACAUGAGUAUAAUUGGAAUGGAUACAAGAGGCUCUUUCAAAUGGUACAGGCCUGUUUUAUAUAAAUACGUUUUUUGACUUGCAGAAGCUUUUUUCUCUCAGUGGGCAUAUAAACACCACCUGUGGUUAAUUGUUUUGCAAUCUUUGUGGUCAUUUUUAUUCUUUCCAUGGUUCCUGUAAUGCUUGGCAAAGUUAUGAAAUUUAGUCUCUGAAUUCACAGUAUAGAGAUUAUAUAAUCAUUUGGGCAUGGUUUCUCUCUAGGAUAAAGCUUGUCUGGCUAUAUAUAUGGAAUUGGGUUUGUGUAAUUAAUGUCAAAUAAUUGAGUCCAACAUAGUUAUAAGCUUUCAUCUUUC